rnacentral:rRNA from 1 species
UUCCGUAGGUGAACCUGCGGAGGGGUCAUUACAAGUGACCCCGGUCUAACCACCGGGAUGUUCAUAACCCUUUGUUGUCCGACUCUGUUGCCUCCGGGGCGACCCUGCCUUCGGGCGGGGGCUCCGGGUGGACACUUCAAACUCUUGCGUAACUUUGCAGUCUGAGUAAACUUAAUUAAUAAAUUAAAACUUUUAACAACGGAUCUCUUGGUUCUGGCAUCGAUGAAGAACGCAGCGAAAUGCGAUAAGUAAUGUGAAUUGCAGAAUUCAGUGAAUCAUCGAAUCUUUGAACGCACAUUGCGCCCCCUGGUAUUCCGGGGGGCAUGCCUGUUCGAGCGUCAUUUCACCACUCAAGCCUCGCUUGGUAUUGGGCAACGCGGUCCGCCGCGUGCCUCAAAUCGACCGGCUGGGUCUUCUGUCCCCUAAGCGUUGUGGAAACUAUUCGCUAAAGGGUGUUCGGGAGGCUACGCCGUAAAACAACCCCAUUUCUAAGGUUGACCUCGGAUCAGGUAGGGAUACCCGCUGAACUUAAGCAUAUCAAUAAGCGGAGGAA